rnacentral:miRNA from 1 species
GAGUGGAAAUAAGAUUGAGAGGGAAGAUGAGAGGGGAGGAUGGAAGGGAGGAGUAACAAAGGUGAAAACAAAAACAAAAACUUGAAAUCUAUUUGAAAUUGUUUUCACUUUCAAGUUUUUGUUUUCACUUUUGUUAUUCCUCCCUCCCAUCCUCCCCUCUCAUCCUCUCUCUCAAUCUCAUCCUCAUUCC